rnacentral:rRNA from 1 species
UACGAAGGGGGCUAGCGUUGUUCGGAAUUACUGGGCGUAAAGCGCACGUAGGCGGACUUGUCAGUCAGGGGUGAAAUCCCAAGGCUUAACCUUGGAACUGCGUCGGAUACUGGAUGGCUUGAAUUCGGGAGAGGGAUGCAGAAUUCCAGGUGUAGCGGUGAAAUGCGUAGAUAUCUGGAGGAAUACCGGUGGCGAAGGCGGCAUCCUGGACCGACAUUGACGCUGAUGAGCGAAAGCUAGGGGAGCAAACGGG